GGGUUGUGAGGUUAAGCGACUAAGCGUACACGGUGGAUGCCCUGGCAGUCAGAGGCGAUGAAGGACGUGCUAAUCUGCGAUAAGCGUCGGUAAGGUGAUAUGAACCGUUAUAACCGGCGAUUUCCGAAUGGGGAAACCCAGUGUGAUUCGUCACACUAUCAUUAACUGAAUCCAUAGGUUAAUGAGGCGAACCGGGGGAACUGAAACAUCUAAGUACCCCGAGGAAAAGAAAUCAACCGAGAUUCCCCCAGUAGCGGCGAGCGAACGGGGAGSAGCCCAGAGCCUGAAUCAGUGUGUGUGUUAGUGGAAGCGUCUGGAAAGGCGCGCGAUACAGGGUGACAGCCCCGUACACAAAAAUGCACAUGCUGUGAGCUCGAUGAGUAGGGCGGGACACGUGGUAUCCUGUCUGAAUAUGGGGGGACCAUCCUCCAAGGCUAAAUACUCCUGACUGACCGAUAGUGAACCAGUACCGUGAGGGAAAGGCGAAAAGAACCCCGGCGAGGGGAGUGAAAAAGAACCUGAAACCGUGUACGUACAAGCAGUGGGAGCACAGAGCAAUCUGUGUGACUGCGUACCUUUUGUAUAAUGGGUCAGCGACUUAUAUUCUGUAGCAAGGUUAACCGAAUAGGGGAGCCGAAGGGAAACCGAGUCUUAACUGGGCGUUAAGUUGCAGGGUAUAGACCCGAAACCCGGUGAUCUAGCCAUGGGCAGGUUGAAGGUUGGGUAACACUAACUGGAGGACCGAACCGACUAAUGUUGAAAAAUUAGCGGAUGACUUGUGGCUGGGGGUGAAAGGCCAAUCAAACCGGGAGAUAGCUGGUUCUCCCCGAAAGCUAUUUAGGUAGCGCCUCGUGAAYUCAUCUCCGGGGGUAGAGCACUGUUUCGGCAAGGGGGUCAUCCCGACUUACCAACCCGAUGCAAACUGCGAAUACCGGAGAAUGUUAUCACGGGAGACACACGGCGGGUGCUAACGUCCGUCGUGAAGAGGGAAACAACCCAGACCGCCAGCUAAGGUCCCAAAGUCAUGGUUAAGUGGGAAACGAUGUGGGAAGGCCCAGACAGCCAGGAUGUUGGCUUAGAAGCAGCCAUCAUUUAAAGAAAGCGUAAUAGCUCACUGGUCGAGUCGGCCUGCGCGGAAGAUGUAACGGGGCUAAACCAUGCACCGAAGCUGCGGCAGCGACGCUUAUGCGUUGUUGGGUAGGGGAGCGUUCUGUAAGCCUGUGAAGGUGUGCUGUGAGGCAUGCUGGAGGUAUCAGAAGUGCGAAUGCUGACAUAAGUAACGAUAAAGCGGGUGAAAAGCCCGCUCGCCGGAAGACCAAGGGUUCCUGUCCAACGUUAAUCGGGGCAGGGUGAGUCGACCCCUAAGGCGAGGCCGAAAGGCGUAGUCGAUGGGAAACAGGUUAAUAUUCCUGUACUUGGUGUUACUGCGAAGGGGGGACGGAGAAGGCUAUGUUGGCCGGGCGACGGUUGUCCCGGUUUAAGCGUGUAGGCUGGUUUUCCAGGCAAAUCCGGAAAAUCAAGGCUGAGGCGUGAUGACGAGGCACUACGGURCUGAAGCAACAAAUGCCCUGCUUCCAGGAAAAGCCUCUAAGCAUCAGGUAACAUCAAAUCGUACCCCAAACCGACACAGGUGGUCAGGUAGAGAAUACCAAGGCGCUUGAGAGAACUCGGGUGAAGGAACUAGGCAAAAUGGUGCCGUAACUUCGGGAGAAGGCACGCUGAUAUGUAGGUGAAGCGACUUGCUCGUGGAGCUGAAAUCAGUCGAAGAUACCAGCUGGCUGCAACUGUUUAUUAAAAACACAGCACUGUGCAAACACGAAAGUGGACGUAUACGGUGUGACGCCUGCCCGGUGCCGGAAGGUUAAUUGAUGGGGUCAGCGCAAGCGAAGCUCUUGAUCGAAGCCCCGGUAAACGGCGGCCGUAACUAUAACGGUCCUAAGGUAGCGAAAUUCCUUGUCGGGUAAGUUCCGACCUGCACGAAUGGCGUAAUGAUGGCCAGGCUGUCUCCACCCGAGACUCAGUGAAAUUGAACUCGCUGUGAAGAUGCAGUGUACCCGCGGCAAGACGGAAAGACCCCGUGAACCUUUACUAUAGCUUGACACUGAACAUUGAGCCUUGAUGUGUAGGAUAGGUGGGAGGCUUAGAAGUGUGGACGCCAGUCUGCAUGGAGCCGACCUUGAAAUACCACCCUUUAAUGUUUGAUGUUCUAACGUUGACCCGUAAUCCGGGUUGCGGACAGUGUCUGGUGGGUAGUUUGACUGGGGCGGUCUCCUCCUAAAGAGUAACGGAGGAGCACGAAGGUUGGCUAAUCCUGGUCGGACAUCAGGAGGUUAGUGCAAUGGCAUAAGCCAGCUUGACUGCGAGCGUGACGGCGCGAGCAGGUGCGAAAGCAGGUCAUAGUGAUCCGGUGGUUCUGAAUGGAAGGGCCAUCGCUCAACGGAUAAAAGGUACUCCGGGGAUAACAGGCUGAUACCGCCCAAGAGUUCAUAUCGACGGCGGUGUUUGGCACCUCGAUGUCGGCUCAUCACAUCCUGGGGCUGAAGUAGGUCCCAAGGGUAUGGCUGUUCGCCAUUUAAAGUGGUACGCGAGCUGGGUUUAGAACGUCGUGAGACAGUUCGGUCCCUAUCUGCCGUGGGCGCUGGAGAACUGAGGGGGGCUGCUCCUAGUACGAGAGGACCGGAGUGGACGCAUCACUGGUGUUCGGGUUGUCAUGCCAAUGGCACUGCCCGGUAGCUAAAUGCGGAAGAGAUAAGUGCUGAAAGCAUCUAAGCACGAAACUUGCCCCGAGAUGAGUUCUCCCUGACYCYUURAGRGUCCUGAAGGAACGUUGAAGACGACGACGUUGAUAGGCCGGGUGUGUAAGCGCAGCGAUGCGUUGAGCUAACCGGUACUAAUGAACCGUGAGGCUUAACCUUACAACGCCGAAGCUGUU
rnacentral:rRNA from 1 species